CUGCCAAUUUUCUGUGCCAUAAGCCAUAAAUCACUAGUCUCAUCAACAGUGAGAUCAAUAAAACGCUUCACUUCUCGCCUUGGGCAGACCAGCACAUGACCAGGAACAACAGGACGGAGGUUGACCAUGGCAUAGGAGAGCUCAGAAGAGUAAAAUACUUCCUUCGGCUCAAUUUUGUAGGGCCCGAACAUAUAGUGCUCUGUCGACAUCUUGGUGGCGGCGGUGGAGGAGAUGGGUCGGAACCCUCUGGCGGAGCAACGAGAAAGGCAAUAUCUAGCGUGUGCGUGGGUGAGAGGGAGAGCGA
rnacentral:misc_RNA from 1 species